AGGGUUACUGGCUUAGUGGAUGAGAGUGAAGCAGUAGAUGUGAUAUAUCUUGGAUUUUAGUGAAAGUUUUGACAGUUCUGCAUGACAUUCUCACAAGCAAAGUAGAACCCAACAGGUGGCAGAAAUCCUAGUGAAAAAACUUCACAGCACUAGACCCUUACCGCCAUCAUUGCCACUGAAUAACAUCCCUAACUAAAGAGAAUGACAAAGGACAUACCAUUUGCAUCUGAGUUUACAGCUGAGAAAACAGAAGAUUCCACCAACUGCUCUCUAAAGUGCUUUGAAUAAACGC